rnacentral:rRNA from 1 species
AGUGAACGCUGGCGGUAGGCCUAACACAUGCAAGUCGAACGGCAGCACAGUAAGAGCUUGCUCUUACGGGUGGCGAGUGGCGGACGGGUGAGGAAUACAUCGGAAUCUACUUUUUCGUGGGGGAUAACGUAGGGAAACUUACGCUAAUACCGCAUACGACCUACGGUUGAAAGCAGGGGAUCUUCGGACCUUGCGCGAUUGAAUGAGCCGAUGUCGGAUUAGCUAGUUGGCGGGGUAAAGGCCCACCAAGGCGACGAUCCGUAGCUGGUCUGAGAGGAUGAUCAGCCACACUGGAACUGAGACACGGUCCAGACUACUACGGGAGGCAGCAGUGGGGAAUAUUGGACAAUGGGCGCAAGCCUGAUCCAGCCAUACCGCGUGGGUGAAGAGGGCCUUCGGGUUGUAAAGCCCUUUUGUUGGGAAAGAAAAGCAGCAGGUUAAUACCCCGCUGUUCUGACGGUACCCAAAGAAUAAGCACCGGCUAACUUCGUG